AACGCUAGCUACAGGCUUAACACAUGCAAGUCGAGGGGCAGCAUGGUCUUAGCUUGCUAAGACCGAUGGCGACCGGCGCACGGGUGAGUAACACGUAUCCAACCUGCCGACAACACUGGGAUAGCCUUUCGAAAGAAAGAUUAAUACCGGAUGGUAUAGUUUUCCCGCAUGGGAUAAUUAUUAAAGAAUUUCGGUUGUCGAUGGGGAUGCGUUCCAUUAGGCAGUUGGCGGGGUAACGGCCCACCAAACCUACGAUGGAUAGGGGUUCUGAGAGGAAGGUCCCCCACAUUGGAACUGAGACACGGUCCAAACUCCUACGGGAGGCAGCAGUGAGGAAUAUUGGUCAAUGGACGAGAGUCUGAACCAGCCAAGUAGCGUGAAGGAUGACUGCCCUAUGGGUUGUAAACUUCUUUUAUACGGGAAUAAAGUUAGCCACGUGUGGUUUUUUGUAUGUACCGUAUGAAUAAGGAUCGGCUAACUCCGUGCCAGCAGCCGCGGUAAUACGGAGGAUCCGAGCGUUAUCCGGAUUUAUUGGGUUUAAAGGGAGCGUAGGCGGGUUGUUAAGUCAGUUGUGAAAGUUUGCGGCUCAACCGUAAAAUUGCAGUUGAUACUGGCGACCUUGAGUGCAACAGAGGUAGGCGGAAUUCGUGGUGUAGCGGUGAAAUGCUUAGAUAUCACGAAGAACUCCGAUUG
rnacentral:rRNA from 1 species